UACGUAGGGUGCAAGCGUUAAUCGGAAUUACUGGGCGUAAAGCGUGCGCAGGCGGUGAUGUAAGACAGGUGUGAAAUCCCCGGGCUUAACCUGGGAACUGCAUUUGUGACUGCAUCGCUGGAGUGCGGCAGAGGGGGAUGGAAUUCCGCGUGUAGCAGUGAAAUGCGUAGAUAUGCGGAGGAACACCGAUGGCGAAGGCAAUCCCCUGGGCCUGCACUGACGCUCAUGCACGAAAGCGUGGGGAGCAAACCGG
rnacentral:rRNA from 1 species